AUGCAAGUCGACGAACCUUCGGGUUAGUGGCGGACGGGUGAGUAACGCGUGAGAAUCUGCCCUCAGGAGGGGGAUAACAGUUGGAAACGACUGCUAAUACCCCAUAUGCCGAGAGGUGAAACGAAUUUCGCCUGGGGAUGAGCUCGCGUCUGAUUAGCUUGUUGGUGGGGUAAUGGCUUACCAAGGCUUCGAUCAGUAGCUGGUCUGAGAGGACGAUCAGCCACACUGGGACUGAGACACGGCCCAGACUCCUACGGGAGGCAGCAGUGGGGAAUUUUCCGCAAUGGGCGCAAGCCUGACGGAGCAACGCCGCGUGAGGGAUGGAGGCCUUUGGGCUGUAAACCUCUUUUCUCAAGGAAGAAGAUCUGACGGUACUUGAGGAAUAAGCCACGGCUAAUUCCGUGCCAGCAGCCGCGGUAAUACGGGAGUGGCAAGCGUUAUCCGGAAUUAUUGGGCGUAAAGCGUCCGCAGGCGGCCGUUUAAGUCUGUUGUUAAAUCGUGGAGCUCAACUCCAUCACGGCAAUGGAAACUGUUCGGCUUGAGUAUGGUAGGGGCAGAGGGAAUUUCCGGUGUAGCGGUGAAAUGCGUAGAUAUCGGGAAGAACACCAGUGGCAAAAGCGCUCUGCUGGGCCAUUACUGACGCUCAUGGACGAAAGCCAGGGGAGCGAAAGGGAUUAGAUACCCCUGUAGUCCUGGCCGUAAACGAUGAACACUAGAUGUUGGGGGAAUCGACCCCCUCGGUGUCGUAGCUAACGCGUUAAGUGUUCCGCCUGGGGAGUACGCACGCAAGUGUGAAACUCAAAGGAAUUGACGGGGGCCCGCACAAGCGGUGGAGUAUGUGGUUUAAUUCGAUGCAACGCGAAGAACCUUACCAAGGCUUGACAUCCUGCGAAUCUCCAAGAAAUUGGAGAGUGCCUUUUGGAACGCAGUGACAGGUGGUGCAUGGCUGUCGUCAGCUCGUGUCGUGAGAUGUUGGGUUAAGUCCCGCAACGAGCGCAACCCACGUUUUUAGUUGCCAGCAUUCAGUUGGGCACUCUAGAAAGACUGCCGGUGACAAACCGGAGGAAGGUGUGGACGACGUCAAGUCAUCAUGCCCCUUACGCCUUGGGCUACACACGUACUACAAUGCUGCGGACAAAGAGUAGCGAUCUUGCGAAAGUUAGCUAAUCUCGUAAACCGUGGCUCAGUUCAGAUCGUAGGCUGCAACUCGCCUACGUGAAGGAGGAAUCGCUAGUAAUCGCAGGUCAGCAUACUGCGGUGAAUACGUUCCCGGGCCUUGUACACACCGCCCGUCACACCAUGGAAGUUGGCCAUGCCCGAAGUCGUUACUCUAACCUUUGGAAGAGGCGCCGAAG
rnacentral:rRNA from 1 species